AUAAAAUUCCUGGAAGAAUCUUAAAAGGAAAAUAAAAUGAACUAGAUUCCAGGAUAAAAAUCAAGAUUUGCAAACAACAGACCACAUAAAAAAGACAUUAAAAAAAGAAACCAAGGAAAUCAAAUAAAAGGAGCAAUUACUAUGAUGCAGAAGAGGGAGGUGCCGUAUGAGUCUUCAGAUCUGGCUCCAGCCUGUUGACUGGUUUUGAAACCAAUUACUAAUCUUUAUAUGUUUCUUUUUGUUUGUGUGGCAGUACUAAUCCAUAAUGAAUCUGCAGUUUUUCCUACUGUACUUACAAGAAGUAGCAUAGCAUCUGGUUGGCGUGAGGGUUUAUGAGGUCUCUCUCUUCUUUUCCCAGAAUGUGGAGCUCUCACGCCUUCUCCCCCGAGCUGAAGUCACUACUGGAGGGCCUGGUACAGCGUGAAGUGGGCAAGCGGCUGGGCUGCCAUGGAGGCAGGAGAUACUUUUUGCAAAGUCUCUGUUGUAUUUCCAAAUGCGUGCUCACCACUUUGAGAACUUCUUCUUCACCAGCGCACAGGAAGUAAAAGAGCACAGCUUCUUCAAGGGCGUCGACUGGCAGCACAUCUAUCUACAAAAGUAUCCACCCCUGCUAAUUCCUCCCUGGGGAGAAGUCGAUGCUAUGGAUGCUUUUGAUAUUGGCUCAUUUGAUGAAGAGGAUACUAAAGGCAUUAAGGACAAGACCACACCUGCGAGAGACACCAGGGAGGAACCAACUCUUCAUCUGCAUAGUUCCUCAUCAUUCUUAGAUUUCCACUGCUCCCCAAUCUUUUGUUACACCUUGUUUAUCCCAAUGUGAAGUACUGAACUCUGUAUUUUCACUUGUUACAUCUGUUUCCCCAUGUACUGAAUAAAAGGUGCUACAAGCUAGGGGGCUUUUGUCUUUGCUGCCCAGAGCAGCACUGAUCAGACCCAAAGGUCAGCUUCUUCUCAGUCUCAUUUUUCUACCUUUCCUGUAAUUCGUGUGCUGCUGUGGCUCACAGGAGACUAAAGACUUACUGCAGAGGUUCUGGUAACGUCCCCUUCCC
rnacentral:lncRNA from 1 species